rnacentral:rRNA from 1 species
AACGAACGCUGGCGGCAUGCCUAACACAUGCCAGUCGAACGAUUGCCUUCGGGUGAUAGUGGCGCACGGGUGCGUAACGCGUGGGAAUCUGCCCUUAGGUUCGGAAUAACAGCUGGAAACGGCUGCUAAUACCGGAUGAUAUCGCGAGAUCAAAGAUUUAUCGCCUGAGGAUGAGCCCGCGUUGGAUUAGGUAGUUGGUGGGGUAAAGGCCUACCAAGCCGACGAUCCAUAGCUGGUCUGAGAGGAUGAUCAGCCACACUGGGACUGAGACACGGCCCAGACUCCUACGGGAGGCAGCAGUAGGGAAUAUUGGACAAUGGGCGCAAGCCUGAUCCAGCAAUGCCGCGUGAGUGAUGAAGGCCCUAGGGUUGUAAAGCUCUUUUACCCGGGAAGAUAAUGACUGUACCGGGAGAAUAAGCCCCGGCUAACUCCGUG